UUAUACCGUGAAACUGCGAAUGGCUCAUUAAAUCAGUUAUCGUUUAUUUGAUAGUACCUUACUACUUGGAUAACCGUGGUAAUUCUAGAGCUAAUACAUGCUAAAAACCCCAACUUCGGGAGGGGUGUAUUUAUUAGAUAAAAAACCAACGCCCUUCGGGGCUCCUUGGUGAAUCAUAAUAACUUAACGGAUCGCAUGGCCUUGCGCCGGCGACGGUUCAUUCAAAUUUCUGCCCUAUCAACUUUCGAUUGUAGGGUAUUGGCCUACAAUGGUAUCAACGGGUAACGGGGAAUUAGGGUUCGAUUCCGGAGAGGGAGCCUGAGAAACGGCUACCACAUCCAAGGAAGGCAGCAGGCGCGCAAAUUACCCAAUCCCGACACGGGGAGGUAGUGACAAUAAAUACUGAUACAGGGCUCUUUUGGGUCUUGUAAUUGGAAUGAGUACAAUUUAAAUCCCUUAACGAGGAACAAUUGGAGGGCAAGUCUGGUGCCAGCAGCCGCGGUAAUUCCAGCUCCAAUAGCGUAUAUUAAAGUUGUUGCAGUUAAAAAGCUCGUAGUUGAACCUUGGGCCUGGCUGGCCGGUCCGCCUCACCGCGUGCACUGGUCCGGCCGGGCCUUUCCUUCUGGAGAGCCGCAUGCCCUUCACUGGGUGUGUCGGGGAACCAGGACUUUUACUUUGAAAAAAUUAGAGUGUUCAAAGCAGGCCUUUGCUCGAAUACAUUAGCAUGGAAUAAUAGAAUAGGACGUGCGGUUCUAUUUUGUUGGUUUCUAGGACCGCCGUAAUGAUUAAUAGGGAUAGUCGGGGGCAUCAGUAUUCAAUUGUCAGAGGUGAAAUUCUUGGAUUUAUUGAAGACUAACUACUGCGAAAGCAUUUGCCAAGGAUGUUUUCAUUAAUCAGUGAACGAAAGUUAGGGGAUCGAAGACGAUCAGAUACCGUCGUAGUCUUAACCGUAAACUAUGCCGACUAGGGAUCGGGCGAUGUUAUUAUUUUGACUCGCUCGGCACCUUACGAGAAAUCAAAGUUUUUGGG
rnacentral:rRNA from 1 species